GCCCUUUUAGCUCAACGGCAGAGCAGCGGUAUCGUAAACCGUAGAUGUCAGUUCGAUUCUGACAGAGGGCUCCC
rnacentral:tRNA from 2 species